rnacentral:rRNA from 1 species
CAGCCGCCGCGGGAACACGAAGGGGGCUAGCGUUGCUCGGAAUGACUGGGCGUAAAGGGCGCGUAGGCGGAUUGUUUAGUUAGGCGUGAAAUUCCUGGGCUUAACCUGGGGACUGCAUUUGAUACGUAUGGACUUGAAUGGAGAAGAGGGUUGUGGAAUUUCCAGUGUAGAGGUGAAAUUCGUAGAUAUUGGAAAGAACACCGGUGGCGAAGGCGGCAACCUGGUCUUUAACUGACGCUGAGGCGCGAAAGCGUGGGGAGCAAACAGGAUUAGAUACCCGAGUAGUCCCUGUCUCUUAUAC